AGGACGAACGCUGGCGGCGUGCUUAACACAUGCAAGUCGAGCGGUAAGGCCUCUUCGGGGGUACACGAGCGGCGAACGGGUGAGUAACACGUGGGCGACCUGCCCUCAGCUCUGGGAUAAGCCUGGGAAACUGGGUCUAAUACCGGAUAUGACCUUCUCUCGCAUGGGGGUUGGUGGAAAGUCCUGGGCUUUUGUCUGGGUUCGGCUGGGGAUGGGCCCGCGGCCUAUCAGCUUGUUGGUGGGGUGAUGGCCUACCAAGGCGACGACGGGUAGCCGGCCUGAGAGGGCGACCGGCCACACUGGGACUGAGACACGGCCCAGACUCCUACGGGAGGCAGCAGUGGGGAAUAUUGCGCAAUGGGCGGAAGCCUGACGCAGCGACGCCGCGUGGGGAUGACGGCCUUCGGGUUGUAACCUCUUUCGACCUUGACGAAGGCUUUCGGGUUGACGGUAGGGUAGAAGAAGCGACCGGCCAACUACGUGCCAGCAGCCGCGGUAA
rnacentral:rRNA from 1 species